GGGAACCUUGAGCGAGUGGCUUAGGCUGCCGAGCCUCAGUUUUCUCCCUCUAAGCCGGAGCUAAUAUUCCUACUUUUGUUAUGCGCAGGGGAGGGAGGAACUCAGAGAAGGAAUUUAAGGAAUUCUAGACUUGAUGGAUCCUCGGAGGAGGAUGGAGUCCAGCUCAGCCAGGAGAACCGAGCAGUGGCAGAAGGUCGAGGAUGGAGCUAAGGCAGGAUCCGGGCGGUGCAAGUGGACAGCAGAGACGGU
rnacentral:lncRNA from 1 species